rnacentral:lncRNA from 1 species
UGGGAAACAAAUAUUUCUACAUACCUUCUUCAUAUGGGUUCAACAAUUACCCUGAAUUUAAUAUGGUUGAAAGAUGACGUUUUUUUCUGUCACUAUGUGAAGAAGGUAAAAAAUAAAUUCCUGAGUUGUUUUAAAAGGAGGUUUUCUAAUUUUUUGUACUUAAAUUAUUUCUUUUGGGCUCAUUUUGAGAAUAAUGUUUCUGGAAGAAGUCUCCAGAAGUUUGUUACACAAUUCAAUUAUAUCUUAUUUAUGUAUUCACAUGUUUAUUUGCCAAGAGGAAUUCACCUAUUUGUCUCCUCGCCUAAGUCUGCCUGUUUCUUCGAAAGAGUUUAUAGAUUUAGUUUAUUUGGAUAGUAAUAUGAAAUAAGUUCAGUAGUUGGAAUCUUUUCGACUAAGGACUUACUCAUGAAGAUAACGAAGAGCUCACAUCGUUUUGGAUCAAUAUUUUUCAAGAGAUUAUUAAUUAAUUUAGUCCAUUCAUGGAUUACUCCUUGACGCGUAGUAACGGAUGAUUAACUUAAAUAUAGUUAUUUGCAUCAGAGUAUUUUCGAGGAGUAUUGAGCUCCUAAAAAAGGGCAACGACAACAGACGAUCAUCUAUCAAGACUAAAUACUUUCUUUAUCUGAGGCCUCUGAACCCAUGUGCAAUGGAAAGAAAUGUCAAUGUUUUAAGAAUUUAUCGUUAACUUUAAAGGAUUUUUUUAGUUAGAUACUCUAACUCUUUGUAUCAAUUUCACUGUUAUUUUUUUCUUUAUAGAAUGUGAAUAUUUAAUACAUAUAGGAUGAU